UGCAAAGCCUCACUUCAGUCUCUAGGUC
rnacentral:piRNA from 1 species